AGUGAACGCUGGCGGUAGGCCUAACACAUGCAAGUCGAACGGCAGCACAGUAAGAGCUUGCUCUUACGGGUGGCGAGUGGCGGACGGGUGAGGAAUACAUCGGAAUCUACUUUUUCGUGGGGGAUAACGUAGGGAAACUUACGCUAAUACCGCAUACUACCUACGGGUGAAAGCAGGGGAUCUUCGGACCUUGCGCGUUUGAAUGAGCCGAUGUCGGAUUAGCUAGUUGGCGGGGUAAAGGCCCACCAAGGCGACGAUCCGUAGCUGGUCUGAGAGGAUGAUCAGCCACACUGGAACUGAGACACGGUCCAGACUCCUACGGGAGGCAGCAGUGGGGAAUAUUGGACAAUGGGCGCAAGCCUGAUCCAGCCAUACCGCGUGGGUGAAGAAGGCCUUCGGGUUGUAAAGCCCUUUUGUUGGGAAAGAAAAGAAGCAGGUUAAUACCCCGAUGUUCUGACGGUACCCAAAGAAUAAGCACCGGCUAACUUCGUG
rnacentral:rRNA from 1 species